AUUGAACGCUGGCGGCAGGCCUAACACAUGCAAGUCGAGCGGAUGAAGGGAGCUUGCUCCUGGAUUCAGCGGCGGACGGGUGAGUAAUGCCUAGGAAUCUGCCUGGUAGUGGGGGAUAACGUCCGGAAACGGGCGCUAAUACCGCAUACGUCCUGAGGGAGAAAGUGGGGAAUCUUCGGACCUCACGCUAUCAGAUGAGCCUAGGUCGGAUUAGCUAGUUGGUGGGGUAAAGGCCUACCAAGGCGACGAUCCGUAACUGGUCUGAGAGGAUGAUCAGUCACACUGGAACUGAGACACGGUCCAGACUCCUACGGGGGGCAGCAGUGGGGAAUAUUGGACAAUGGGCGAAAGCCUGAUCCAGCCAUGCCGCGUGUGUGAAGAAGGUCUUCGGAUUGUAAAGCACUUUAAGUUGGGAGGAAGGGCAGUAAGUUAAUACCUUGCUGUUUUGACGUUACCAACAGAAUAAGCACCGGCUAACUUCGUG
rnacentral:rRNA from 1 species